rnacentral:ncRNA from 1 species
AUUAAAACUGUGAGUUAGAUUAGUAAAUAUUUUAGAUGUGUUUAGAGAGCAACUAGUUGGUGGAAAGUUGUCACUAUAGAAUAUCGAAUGGACUAACGAGUGUCUUUUGGAAAUAAUAGUAUAAAAGACCGGGUAUUCUUCCCGUUAUAAGUAGAACGUAUAUGUUAGUAUAUGAACUAUGUUAGGUGGCACAAGACUCUUGUCCUAUAU